UAGGGAAUCUUCGGCAAUGGACGGAAGUCUGACCGAGCAACGCCGCGUGAGUGAAGAAGGUUUUCGGAUCGUAAAGCUCUGUUGUAAGAGAAGAACGAGUGUGAGAGUGGAAAGUUCCCACUGUGACGGUAUCUUACCAGAAAGGGACGGCUAACUACGUGCCAGCAGUCGCGGUAAUACGUAGGUCCCGAGCGUUGUCCGGAUUUAUUGGGCGUAAAGCGAGCGCAGGCGGUUAGAUAAGUCUGAAGUUAAAGGCUGUGGCUUAACCAUAGUAGGCUUUGGAAACUGUUUAACUUGAGUGCAAGAGGGGAGAGUGGAAUUCCAUGUGUAGCGGUGAAAUGCGUAGAUAUAUGGAGGAACACCGGUGGCGAAAGCGGCUCUCUGGCUUGUAACUGACGCUGAGGCUCGAAAGCGUGGGGAGCAAACAGGAUUAGAUACCCUGGUAGUCCACGCUGUAAACGAUGAGUGCUAGGUGUUAGACCCUUUCCGGGGUUUAGUGCCGUAGCUAACGCAUUAAGCACUCCGCCUGGGGAGUACGACCGCAAGGUUG
rnacentral:rRNA from 1 species